UACGUAGGGUGCAAGCGUUAAUCGGAAUUACUGGGCGUAAAGCGUGCGCAGGCGGUUAUGCAAGACAGAUGUGAAAUCCCCGGGCUUAACCUGGGAACCGCAUUUGUGACUGCAUAGCUGGAGUACGGCAGAGGGGGAUGGAAUUCCGCGUGUAGCAGUGAAAUGCGUAGAUAUUGGGAGGAACACCAGUGGCGAAGGCGGCUCACUGGACCGGUUCUGACGCUGAGGCGCGAAAGCGUGGGGAGGCAAACAGG
rnacentral:rRNA from 1 species